GACAGAGGAUGCAAGCGUUAUCCGGAAUGAUUGGGCGUAAAGCGUCUGUAGGUGGCUUUUCAAGUCCGCCGUCAAAUCCCAGGGCUCAACCCUGGACAGGCGGUGGAAACUACCAAGCUGGGAUACGGUAGGGGGCAGAGGGAAUUUCCGGUGGAGCGGUGAAAUGCAUUGAGAUCGGAAAGAACACCAACGGCGAAAGCACUCUGCUGGGCCGACACUGACACUGAGAGACGAAAGGCUAGGGGAGCAAAUGGGACUUAGAAACCCCGGU
rnacentral:rRNA from 1 species